rnacentral:rRNA from 1 species
GGGUAACGGGGUGUUAGGGCACGACACCGGAGAGGGAGCCUGAGAAACGGCUACCACAUCCAAGGAUGGCAGCAGGCGCGCAAAUUACCCAACCCCGACACGGGGAGGUAGUGACAAUAAAUAACAAUACGGGGUUCUUUCGGAUCUCGUAAUUGGAAUGAGUACAAUUUAAAUCUCUUAACGAGGAACAAUUGGAGGGCAAGUCUGGUGCCAGCAGCCGCGGUAAUUCCAGCUCCAAUAGCGUAUAUUAAAGUUGUUGCAGUUAAAAAGCUCGUAGUUGAAUUUCGGGAUCAAAUUGUCGGUCGUGCCUCGGUACGUACUGGCGUUAUUGGUUCCUCCCUUCUGAAGAACCGCGAUGCCACUAAUUUGGUGUCGCGGGAAAUCGGGACUGUUACUUUGAAAAAAUUAGAGUGUUUAAAGCAGGCUCGCGCUUGAAUACAUUAGCAUGGAAUAAUGAAAUAGGACGUUUGAUUCUAUUUUGUUGGUUUCUAGGAUCGACGUAAUGAUUAAUAGGGAUAGUUGGGGGCAUUAGUAUUCAAUUGUCAGAGGUGAAAUUCUUGGAUUUAUUGAAGACUAACUACUGCGAAAGCAUUUGCCAAGGAUGUUUUCAUUAAUCAAGAACGAAAGUUAGGGGAUCGAAGACGAUCAGAUACC